CAGUGUAAAAAGCUCACUAAUUUCAUUGUGAUGGCUGCAGUUACAGCCACACAAAUGUGGUAAUAUUCACUCUCACCACACGCAAUAAGUUCAUUUCACUUAUAUUUGGAUUUCUUUAAGUUUAGGAUUUAAUUUACAGAAUAACUGGUUAUGUUUAGAAAGCAACACAUCACAGUGUAUUCUAGAAUAAGUGCGCACAUUUUAGUUUAUAUUGUUGUGUUUUGCUUGAUUUAAUCUUUGUUUUGUUUCUGAGUUUAAGUGCUGGCUGCCCAAUCCUUAGGAGAGCAGAGAGGUGCAGAAGGGGUGGAGCAAGCCAGCUGAGACUGCAAAUUGGUUCACACCAUUACUCAUCAUCCGGAGGGGGGGAAUGGGAUUUGCUAUGUUAGUUUCAGUUAGGUUUCUGUGGAUUUUCCCCUUUGUGUUUUGUAUGUGGCCUGAUCAGCCAGUAUUUAAGUCCCCUUUUGUCUCUGUUUGAGAGGUCUGUUCUUUGCGUUAGUCUGAGUUGAUGUCUGUUACUUUGACCUCUUUUAUGGGCCCAAAUUUUGUCAUUUUUUCUAUUAUUUACCCAAGUUUUGUUUUGGGUUAAAUAAAAAACAACUAUUUUGACUUUAAACCAGUGCCUGGCUGUUCCUUAACUGCUCGGUCCAUCACAUGUAGAAAGAAGAUGACAAAAGUGUUUUCUGAAUUAACUUUAAUGUUCACCUCACUGCAGAAAGGACAGAUUAAAUAUUUAAGAUUGCAACAAAUCUGUUGAAUCUUUAACAAAAUAGGUUCAGAUUAACAUGGGUGGUUUCACAGCAACCUAAAGUUAACAAUGAAAUGUCUUAAAACUUACAUAGAUGCUCAAAUAUUAACUAUAAUGAAUUAACAAAAGAAAACACCAUAAAGCUGUGUAUUCAAAGACAACCAAGGACAGUCUCUACAGAUAAACCAUAAUGUCUACCAACAGAGCACGUUAACUACUGUAGUUGUUUGAAAGGCGUCUUGGUCCAGUUGACGGCUCAAUUUGAAGCUUGAGGUUUUGGUGUUGAAACUCCCAGAAUCUCAGCUGUUGCAGAUUGUCUGAAGAUGCAGAGAAAAGAACAAGUUGUUAGUGUUAGAAAAAAUGUAUGUUGAUUUUCCUGAACAGCUGAUGCACUGACAAACCUGUCUUUGACAAAACAUUACUGAACCUGAAAAUUAUUUGAAUCAUCACAAUGUAUGUAGAAAUCUUUCUUUUUAUGUUGAUCAAAUGUUUAUGCAUUAAAUGUUUUGCUGUGGAGGCUAUUUUUGCAGUGGUGCUUUAAAUAAAUGCAUAAAAUAUAUAUUUUUUUAAGUAUGUGUUUAUUAGCUGUAAAUUGUGUCAAACUAUCAAUUGAGAAAGAAAUUUACUGCUUAUGAAAAUCUAAACCAUCUGAAUACAUUUUAUCAUCUACAUUAAUCAACUUGAAAUGAAGACAAACAGGAACAGCAGGUUUGCAGAUGAGGUAUAUAUUUGUUUAAGGGGCGAUGAAAUGGAGUCUCUGUGGAUUUCAGAGAUCGAGACACAAACACAAUUUAAUCUGAAGAUUCUGUAGGAUGUGUGAAUAGGUCUGUCACAAUGAAAAAUUUUACUGUAUGAUAAAUUGUUCCAGAAGUUCUCAAACGAUAAUAUUGUUCUUUUGAGACCAUUUUUUUAAGUAAUAAGAUGGUAAGCACAAAAUAAUAAUGCAAGAACACACUCUCAAAGGUCAUUAAACUUUAAAUUCUAAUGAAAAUUCAACACUGGAACUGGAAGACAUUUUUAAUAUCCAAAAUAAAUAUGUUGGGUCUAUUUUAGUUCCCAACCUGCAAGGAAUCAACCAGAGACACAAGUUACUCUUCUGCCGAAGAGGGGAGAGAAGCCAGACACUGAGAACCGCAGUCAAACAACUGUCUGGGAUCAACUCCCCCAGCUCUCAGCUGCUUUUUUUUUUAUCACGUCAAGGAAAAGAGGGUUGGGUUUCUUCACAUAGUCACACAGAUAGUUUCGUCAGAGGAUGUUCUGGGACACUCUUACAAUACACAAAGCUGACUCGUCUAAGACAGGCAGUUUGAUAACACCAGAAGAGUGAGUGAGCAUUUCUAAUCUCCAAACAAACAUUGAUAAAACAAGAAGAGUGUGUAGCGUUUCUAAUCUUCAAGCAAACAUC